AUGGCCUGGACCCCUCUCCUCCUCGGCCUCCUCGCUCACUGCACAGGCUCUGCGACCUCCUAUGAGCUGACUCAGCCACACUCAGUGUCAGUGGCCACAGCACAGACGGCCAGGAUCACCUGUGGGGGAAACAACAUUGGAAGUAAAGCUGUGCACUGGUACCAGCAAAAGCCAGGCCAGGACCCUGUGCUGGUCAUCUAUAGCGAUAGCAACCGGCCCUCAGGGAUCCCUGAGCGAUUCUCUGGCUCCAACUCAGGGAACACCGCCACCCUGACCAUCAGCAGGAUCGAGGCCGGGGAUGAAGCCGACUAUUACUGUCAGGUGUGGGACAGCAGUAGUGAUCAAUACUAUGUAGGUACUGACAGCACCAUCUGCAAUGUGAUUGAUCUGCUGGAGGAACGGACUGACAUGAUCCCUCUUUCCACAAUAAACCAGAGACGCCUCUUGCAGGCAGGCAAACAACCCCAGGAGGAGCAGCAGCAGGCCCUUCAGCCGCAGGGCUGCAGCUCUGCCGAAUGA